GCCCGGCUGGCGCAAUUGGUAGCGCGUAAGACUUCUACAACACGGUCUUCUCGAGUCAUGAGAGUUCUGGAUGUUCAUCUUAAGGUCGUGGGUUCGAGCCCCACGUCGGGUG